GAUGAACGCUGGCGGCGUGCUUAACACAUGCAAGUCGAACGAGAAAUGUAGACGGAAACCUUCGGGCGGAAGCCUUCAUUUCGAGUGGCGGACGGGUGAGUAACGCGUGGGUAACCUGCCUCAUACAGGGGGAUAACAGUUGGAAACGACUGUUAAUACCGCAUAAGACCACAGCAUCGCAUGAUGCGGGGGUAAAAACUCCGGUGGUAUGAGAUGGACCCGCGUUCGAUUAGCCAGUUGGCGGGGUAACGGCCCACCAAAGCGACGAUCGAUAGCCGAUCUGAGAGGAUGACCGGCCACAGUGGGACUGAGACACGGCACAAACUCCUACGGGAGGCAGCAGUGGGGAAUAUUGCACAAUGGGGGAAACCCUGAUGCAGCGACGCCGCGUGAGUGAAGAAGUACUUCGGUAUGUAAAGCUCUAUCAGCAGGGAAGAAAAUGACGGUACCUGAGUAAGAAGCCCCGGCUAACUACGUG
rnacentral:rRNA from 1 species